rnacentral:misc_RNA from 1 species
GCAAACUUGGUCAUUUAGAGGAAGUAAAAGUCGUAACAAGGUAACCGUAGGUGAACCUGCGGUUGGAUCAUUAGAAAAGGAUCUUUGGCAUGAAUGCUGCUGUUUCAGCGGACGUUUGUGUUUAUAAGAAACCAACCAUGUGCACCUUUUUAAAAACAAAGCUUGCUUUGUCUCUAAGCUUUCCCUCCCGGACGUAUUCGUUGCCUGGCAUCGUUUAUCGCACGCGUGCUUAGGGGGGAAAAGUGAUAGAGUCAUUCUUGCCUUCGCGACUUGCUUGUGCCUAGUAACUUUGUGAAAGGCAUUUGCUCGUGGCAAUACCACACGUCUUAAUUUUUGUCUUAAAUCUUAUGUAUUGGAUCGCCAGUGUUUAGUAGCCGGCUGUAGUUGGCGAAAGCACAGGAGAUGCUCUAUGUAUAAAUUUUUACAACUUUUAACAAUGGAUCUCUUGGCUCUCGCAUCGAUGAAGAACGCAGC